rnacentral:misc_RNA from 1 species
UCAUAUCCCAAGCGCUGCUUGGUGUUGGGUGUUUGUCCUGCUGUUUUGGCGCGGACUUGCCUUAAAUAUAUUGGCAGCUUGGAGGCCGGCCCGCAGCGCAGCAGAGUGGAGCGCUAAGUGUCAUUAUUGCUUCCUUGCGUCCAGGAAGCUUUCCUUUG